AUUGAACGCUGGCGGCAGGCUUAACACAUGCAAGUCGAGCGGGGGAAGGUAGCUUGCUACUGGACCUAGCGGCGGACGGGUGAGUAAUGCUUAGGAAUCUGCCUAUUAGUGGGGGACAACAUCCCGAAAGGGAUGCUAAUACCGCAUACGUCCUACGGGAGAAAGCAGGGGAUCUUCGGACCUUGCGCUAAUAGAUGAGCCUAAGUCGGAUUAGCUAGUUGGUGGGGUAAGGGCCUACCAAGGCGACGAUCUGUAGCGGGUCUGAGAGGAUGAUCCGCCACACUGGGACUGAGACACGGCCCAGACUCCUACGGGAGGCAGCAGUGGGGAAUAUUGGACAAUGGGGGGAACCCUGAUCCAGCCAUGCCGCGUGUGUGAAGAAGGCCUUAUGGUUGUAAAGCACUUUAAGCGAGGAGGAGGCUACUUUAGUUAAUACCUAGAGAUAGUGGACGUUACUCGCAGAAUAAGCACCGGCUAACUCUGUGCCAGCAGCCGCGGUAA
rnacentral:rRNA from 1 species